ensembl:lncRNA
CCAUGGCGGGUGGAUGAAAGACCCAAGCUAACAUGGGGUUAGCUCGUUAAACAACAAUAAAGCCUCAUGCUUUUUGCAGCAAGUUUUCGAGUCUGCCUGGUGAUUGGGGUGACCUCGGUCCUGGGACCCCGGAGGCCUGAGAUUUCCGGGGGUCUAACAUUUGGGGGCUCAUCCAGGAUUUGCGACCACCCCUCACCUGAGUGGAUUUGAUCUUGGAGUUUAUAAUGUCAGACAGACUGCCAGAUCCUGACAGUGACCAAAGUCUCCAAAGAAGAUUAUGAGGAACCCCAGUUCCUGCACCUGGACCAGUGAGCAAGAUGCUCAGAUGUGAUACCUGCUGCCUGCCAGGACCUGGCCGAGACUGUGGACAAAGCUGCUAGACACUGGAAAAUUGAUUGCACCCCCUUUGCCUAGACAAAACAAGGCCGGGCGAAGAUUGCUGUUCUUUGAGACAUCUGCCUCCAGCGGUAAUGGAGAAACUUGGGUAUGACUAACUGUAUAUGGACAGGCUUCUAACUGGCUUCUGUCACUUUUUAGUAGAUUUGGAUAAAAUAUACCCUUCUCAGAUCUCUGAAAUAUUAAUGGUUGUCAGCUUGACAGCAUCAGACAGUCCGAUCCACUAUAGGCUAUAGUCAGCAUGUUAGCUGAUAAAGCAAUGAUUACCUACUAUUUAGUCACAAGUUCAAGGUUUUUAAGUUUAUUUUGGUUGUCAUCUAAGUAUAAACUUAAAAGGCUUUUCAUCAGGCCAAAGGCACCUCUGUCCAAACCUGGCUCUCUGGACAGAAGAAAAAUGUACAGGCUUCUAGCCCAAACCUGUAGUUAUAAAUUAUAAAUAUGUUCCUGCUGUUUGAACAGAUAUCCAGAUAUCUGCUUUUUCUGCACUGUGGGCUUCAGUAAAUAAGUUUUAACUUCUGUUCUUAGUUUAAACAUGUCUUAAACAGGUUUCUGCUUCUGGCAGACACAUCUGAGUAUCAGUUGCUGACUACAGGCUGUUCUAAGUAGACUGUGAGCCCUGAACUUGCUGUGGAUGUGAACCAGUCCAGCUGAUGUGGACACCCCCUGUCUCUGCAACAGAGUCUUCCAACAGCCCCUGAUGGAUUCCCCAUUGCCUAAAUUCCUUUUUUUGCUUUUGACUAGCAUUUCAACCUUCUGGGGUCCCUAACUUCAUCCCAAAGUCAGCAGGAAGUAGCAUGGGAAAGAAUUCGCCACCCAUUUUCCCUGGUUAAAAUGUUAAGUCAGAAGGAACUCCCUUGCAUGGGGGAUGCCAAUAUCUCUCACUCCCUGAUGGGGACAAGGGAGAGACAGCAAUUCUAUGAUUGGAAUUUCCAAAAAAGAAAAUGGGGGAAUGAAGGGACCAGCUCCCAUUUCAGCAGCCAUAACAGCUGAACACCUUGUCUUAGUCAUUAAGAGGUCAGACGCCUGCCUUGUGGCAAGGAACCAAUCAGAAGUUAGCUGGUGGUGCUAUGCUUUACGGCUCUAGGUAUGCUUUUCGGACAAGUGCACAGCAAUGGCACACAGAGCAUAGCAACCACCCUGGGAGGGCCUAUGGGCCAUAACAACCAAUUGGCCAAUCAACACAGGGCAAGCCCUCCAAGCCUGGAGGCACACCAAUCCUGAGCCUGUGCAUACCCCUAGUCACUCCCCUAGACACGGCUUCCCUACAAGAUCUCUCUGCAGCCGGUUUGAGUUGUCUUUGCUAGCCAUCCUCCAAGGCGGGUGGGUGAAAGACCGGAGCUAACAUGGGGUUAGCUCGUUAAACAACAAUAAAGCCUCAUGCUGUUUGCAGCAAGUUUUCGAGUCUGCCUGGUGAUUGGGGUGACCUUGG